UGCGUGUUCAUGUUUGUGGGUACAACUAAAUAUAUAUUUUUCGUCUACUUGGAAGCCAUAUAGGGGAACUUAUCGUGGGUAAGCAUAUGCUUUAAGUUGCGCGCAGCCUGAAAAGCAUCAUCAGCGCUGCUCUGAGUAACAUAACAGCUUAAACGCAUGAUUUGCAGGUAUUAUGGUAUUUCUUUGAUUUGCUUACGGGGGCGCCGCGCUGCUGCUUCAUAUGUGGUCGUAGACAACGCCUGCGCCUUGGCUGGCGGCGGCUCUGCCAGCUUUUGAGGACAAGUUUUAUCCGAAUAAACGGUGAGUAAGUUAUGUGUUCGUUUCAACGCAUGCAGCUAGACAGCAGCAUCUCAGCGCAAGCGUUGCCAUCUUAGCUGCGCGCCUAACCUGCGUGUUCGCUCGCCAUAGUGAUGGGAUUUGGGAUAAGGAUUCACUAGUUCUUUUAGGGGGCUUUUGAGAGCUUUGGACAAUGCAGGGAGUCGUAGGUGCAAUCAAAUCGCUAAGCCUGCAGCAACCCACAGCAGCACAUCAUGGGCACCUCAGCACAAUCUUGCAACGACAUGUUGUGGCAUCAACAAAAUUUUGCGGAUCAUAGUUCAUGUAUAAAGGGCAAGCGGAAGGAGUGCGCAUGGUUUGGGUAGAUGGGCUUGUGGGAGACGUAGAAAGGGCCUGUGGUAUUGAAAACUGCCCCGUCCAGCAUGUGAUUCAACAUGUCAGAAAUCGUAAUAGAUAGCGUUAGUGAGAAAUUUUGGGGCAACACGGGAAGGGUGCAGGGUUCGACACUGACUUUCCUGAAACUUGCGGGAUCCUCCGUACCUCCCAAAUUUUCCUUACGGAGGGGCCCCCGUACCAGGCUCCUGUACUGGCCGAAAACCUUACGGGGGCCCCCGUAACCCCUACAAACGCGGAGGGGGGUUAAGAAACUUAGGAGAAUGCUUAAGAACGAUAAGAACGUCUGAAGAACACGGAGGCGGCGGGUGUGCAUUCUUAAUCAUUCUUACACUGGGAUUAAGCGGUUUUAUGUAAGUAUGUCAUAUAAGUAUGAAUUAAGAAUGCAUCAGCCAUGAAAACAUUCUGUAAUUAAUGCCCGAUGGAGCUCUUCUAAUUCCCGGAUAGGUAAUACAUCACAGUGAUUGCGAAACAGUGAAUAUACCAUGAAAUUUCAUGAAAACCAUCGACAUGUGUCUGGGUGUAAUAAUGCGAGACAGGCCUCUUAGAUUAAUCUAACAGAUUCACUCAACAGAUUCACUCAUCAUGAUCAUGAUGAGUGAAUUCAUAACCUAUAAUCAAAUCACCUAUGAAUCACCUUGCAUAUGUGUGUAUUACAUGUACAUGGCUAGCUGCAGGUAAAACUACCCAUACAAUCAUAGCUUGUGAGCUGAAGGCCCUGGGGCAAUACCUGUACACCUAGAAGCCACGGAGAACAGGAAACACCGCACUGUCAUACCCCUGGCAUCUGGUGGGGCUGACGUGUGCGGCCAGGAUCUGGGGCAGGGUAGGCUCCGGCAGUGCCUGAAUGGCAGAGGAAGAUAGGUGAGGUAGGCGUGAUGGGGAGAGGAGACAGGACCCAGGCGUGGGGCACGCCUACCGGGUGGGCAGCAUCAGAGAGACCGGGAGCUUGAGACAAGUCCAGAGUGGGGAUCAGGCCCACUGUGGGGGCGAGGGGGUGGGGCCCCCGAGGAACAAGGAAGGACGGAAGUAAGGAAGAUGACGAGCCAAGAAGAGGCGCCCCAGGUCGGGCCGGGGGUACCCUGCCCCAGAUCCUGGCCACGCACGUCAGCCCCACUUCCGUACCCUCCACCGUACUGGAUCUGCCUUCCAGCCGCCAGAUCUAUACCGUCGCCCUCACGAAGGCCGCCACUGUCUGCGACAACCCGUUGGCUCGUGAAACCAUUGCCCGCCAGGAGGCUGCUGGCCGUGACCUCUCUGCCUGGCUGGCCUCCCUGCCCCAUGGCUGUACCCUGCUGUCCUGCACUGAUGACGACCUGCUCGUCUACUUGGAGGCCCACUGGAUCCCAAACCGUCGGGUGAACAAUCUGAGUCCCAACACCGUCAACAAUCAUCUGGGUCUGCUCUCCGGACUGUUUAACCGCUUGGACCACGGCAGCACUUCUGACUGUGGAACCGGCAUCGGCAACCCCUGCUGCUCCAGCGCCUUGUCCUCCUACAAGACUGACUAUAGUCGCCUCACCGCCGACCGUGGCUACGAGGAGCAAGCCACCGUGCCCCUUACCCCUCGCGAUUUUACCACCCUCAUGGAUCACCUCUGGUCCGGAUUCCAGGCUUCCACCACCUCCCUAGCCCGCCUGCUAGCCCCCCGUUGCUACACAAUAUGUUGUGCUGCCAAUUUAUGUGGCACACCAGCUACCGCGGCCAUGACACAGGCAAACUGCGGCUACAUGAUUUCUGUGACCUGCGGGCAGGGAAGGGUGGUGCUGGACGGGGCAGCGCAGGGAAGGGUGGCGCUGCACGGGGCGGUGCAGGGGAGGGUGGUGCUGCGCGGGGCGGCGCAGGGGAGGGCGGUGCUGCACGGGGCGGCGCAGGGAAGGGCGGCGCGGCGCGGUGCAGGGGAGGGCUGUGCUGCACUGGGCAGGGCAGUGCUGGUGCAGGGUGGGGCGGGAAUCGGAACAGGGCAGAGGUGCCACCCACCUUCUUGUGGGUCUGGGUUCAAUUCCCAGCUGUCCCUUUAUGACCCAUACAUACACACAUAUGUCCGUGAACACAUGAGCACACGGGCAGAGGGCACACACAUACAAACACAAAGGACGGAGGGAAGGGCAAGGGAGAGCAGGGAACAGCAGAGGAGAAGGCACAGAAGGGCAGAAGGGAGGGCAGAUGGGAGGGGAAGGGAGGAUGACUUAGGGAGGGCGGAAUAAGAGUGAGAAAAGGUAAUGUGGAGGGUGGUGGGAGGGGAUUGUGGGGGAGGGGUGAAAGGAUGGAAGGNNNNNNNNNNNNNNNNNNNNNNNNNNNNNNNNNNNNNNNNNNNNNNNNNNNNNNNNNNNNNNNNNNNNNNNNNNNNNNNNNNNNNNNNNNNNNNNNNNNNNNNNNNNNNNNNNNNNNNNNNNNNNNNNNNNNNNNNNNNNNNNNNNNNNNNNNNNNNNNNNNNNNNNNNNNNNNNNNNNNNNNNNNNNNNNNNNNNNNNNNNNNNNNNNNNNNNNNNNNNNNNNNNNNNNNNNNNNNNNNNNNNNNNNNNNNNNNNNNNNNNCCGUGAAAUACCGGACCCGUUCGGUGCCUACCCCUCCCUCUCCUUACGGAUUGAGCAACUUGGGACCAAAACAUCCAAAGGGCGCCGAGCUCCCCCUUUGGAACUGCGCCCCGGCCCUUCUCCGCGACAUUGCUUCAUCCGCACCCUCGCCCUCUAUUGGCAGCUGUGCCAUGCCCCCGAUGCCCCCCCAGGGUCUGCCAUCUCCGACUACCUCUUCCAUCCCACUGACCGGGGUCACCAACACUUCGUGGAGCGCCCAUUUUCCAGCAGCGCUUUGGCCAUGCGAGUGGGCAAACACCUGGAGGAGGCUGGUGUUUACGUCGGGCAAACCCCUCAUGGGUUUCGUCGUGGUAUUAUCCAGGCCACGCAGGCCGCUGGCGCCUCCCACGAGGAGCUCCACACCUUCUCCCAGAUCCGCAGCCCUCAAGUCCUGGAGCGCUACACCGACGCCUCUCGGCCCACUCGUGUCCCUCGCGGCUCCGGUCCCCAAUCCUAGCCUCCACCUCCUGCUGGUGCUGCCCCUCUUAGCCCUGGUGCUCACUUCGUGGCUCGUCCUCCCCCCUUUCCCCACCACAUCGACAGGCGGGUUGGCGGGGUUCUGACUUGUGCUUGCUUGCACAGUUAUCGGGCGAUCUUGCGUUGUCUGAAGUUAGCGCCUUGUUCCCAGCUAAUCUUUGUAACGAACUAGGGUAUCCGUCCCUGUCCUCUGCCCAGCUCUGGGCUGCGAAUUCCUGCACCACACUUGCCGUACCGCACUACAGGACGAGCACUUAAUCAAUAUGCAUAUUGCUUAAAUGUCAGCGUGUGAUCCGUACUCCCUUCUAACUUUCUGUGGGGAAGGCCAUUGCAUCUGCGACCACACUCCCGCGGUACCCAAACCCUUCAAAGAAAAGAUAACUCUGACCAGCCCCAAAACACACCGCGGAGCGGUCUCCCCUUCCCCACUCACUUCCCAGGUGGUACCCUGGGUCCUCUCGCUCACCAGCCCCUCCUCCCCUUGGCCCUUGUGACAUCUGCCAGGCGUUCUUGCUGCACAGGCCGGUAUUUCAGGAAACAAUUAAAGUACCUCGGAUGGAUGUAGAGGCGCAGCUUGCCCUCCUUUCCCACCACUCGCAGGCCGCUGAUAAGCGUGGGUGUAGUGCAUUAGCUGGGCAUUCCAGUCUCCCACCGCAGAGAGCCGUGCUUAACUCGGCUGUAACGACACAGCUGUAGGAACUGCACUGCAUGCGGCCGGUGACCUGCCAUUAUUAUUUCCGGGUUGCAGUCCAGCAUCACGACCUGCAGCAACUCCUGCACAAUAGCUAGCUUGCAGUCCCGCUCAGGCACUAUUUGUUGUCCUGGGUGUUCACAUGACACCCACUCCAGCUGGGGCCCUCCCUCCAGGUGGCCUAGCCAACGUCUCUGUCUGUGAGGGGGCAGCCUUCUUUAGCUGCCUGGAAGAACUCUCACCACACUGCUACAUGUGUAAGUAGCUUUCCUGGCUGGUAGUCCUCGGGUCCGGAAGCAAAAGAUGAUCUCUUCUACAACUCUUGCUCAUUCUGUUGAUCUACUGCGUCAUGUCACCCUAGAGGCUGUAGCCUCUGUCCGGCCUCCUGUAGCAGCUGUAUGCCUCGCUGCACGCUUCCUUGGGUGUCCCCACUCCCCUUGCUGGUGUUCGUCCUGCGACGCCGGGUUCUCCCCUUUCUGCUCCUCACUCACCCACUUGUUGCCUUCACAAGGGUCAUCGUUUCAUGACAGCAGUUCGUCCAGAUCAGCUCCCUCCUCCCGGGUGUCCGUAUGGUAGCCAGUGCUAGAUCCUCCGGCUCCUUCCCCUUCUAUCCCUUGCUUGAUCACAGUCAAUAAAGUAAGCCUGGGCCUCUGGGCUUGGGUCUCCUUGUGUGGCGCCUCGUUGCAGCUUACCAGGGUGUCCACCUGUUGGGCCACCCGUUCUGCCUCUGUUGCUGGGUGUUUAUACCAGCAGCGCUGCCCAACCUGCACCUUAACACAGGGCCCCUUCCCUGCGUAACUAGUACACAAGUCAGUGCCAUUCACAUGGCCCCUGUACACGCUCUCCGUAAUCUGCUCUUCGCCCAAUUCCUGGUAUCCCCGCCGACCCAGCUCCUGGUUUACAGCCACCACUACACUGGCAGGCAGGCUCAGCCGCGGUCCAUCGCGGGCCCCCCACCGUGAGGCGUUCCCAGUCCCGGGUUUACUAGGCCCUGGGAGCCCGCACCCACUGGGCUCCGACUUGCGCUCCUCUGGUCAUGGAAGCCGGGAACCCCCGAUUGCCACCCUUCCCAUGCCGCUCUGUUGCCCACACUCAUCCUGCACUCGCUGUCAACCUCCUCCUAAAUUCCUUAGUAGGCUGUGAGUCAGCUGCCCAUGCGCCUCUUGUAACUUCACGGCCGUGCACGUGAACAGUACCACUGCCGGCCAGGUCCACUCCCGCAACUCCUUGAACAUCGGAGGCUGACACCACGGCCUGGAGGGCCGCCUCUAACCCGAACACCUGGAACUCGUGGGCCUGCUGCUGUAGCUUGAACACACUCGUCUCCACCCAGCUCCACGGCACCAGGUAUCCAGCAAUUUGCCCCGUGAAGUGUCCUUUGAGAAGCGUGUUUGGCUUUUGCCCGAUGUAUGCCCCAACAUGCUGGUGUUGCGGCCCUGCAGAAUCCAUGCAGCACUCAUGCAACUUCUCUUCCUCCCGCUCUGGCAUAACACGGCUACGGGUUUACCGCCCGCAGUGCGUGGUGGCUUUGCGCCAUUACUCUAACCUGGACCUCCGGGGCCUCCCACAGCUGGGAUGUUGGGACUCGGCCAACAACCUCGUAAUGCAGCGCCUCCGGGCUGCCAUGUUGUUUCCUUACGGCGGCCAUGCGCCUCUUGGAUGGCCUUCUCCCGAACGCCACGGUUCACCUGCGGCUGCUCUUCCAGGCCAGUGGCUGCUGCCGGAUACAGGGCUCCCGCUCCCGCGUUGGUGAGCUGCAUCUCCCGGGCCUAAUCCUCAGCCAAGCGUCUGACUGCUGCUGUUUAUCCUCCCGUCCUUCCCUGGCUUCCGCACCCCAGGGGUGGCUUCCAUGCCUUCCAAUCUGUGACUCAGGAAACCGCGCCACCAUUCGCUUCUCCUCUUCCACCUGUUCCUCUUAGCCCUGGCUUGGGCUGUCAGGACGACCUUCCGACCCUUGGUACCCGUUGCCCUGAUUCCCGCCCUCACCGACGGGCCUCCACAACUGCACCUCAUCCAUUGCUGCUGUCCGAGUUAUCUCCCCUUUCUGGCUCCAAGUCCUCCUCGUCCACUUCUGGCCCCAUGCACUCCGUCUGGGUGCUCCACUACACGAGAACAAUCCCGCUGGGGUUGGUCCUCCGGCGGACACAACACAACCUACCAGCCCAAAGCAACUCAGCCUGGGUACUUCACCGUGCGAGAGCAAACCCCUGGGGUUGGCCUUCCGGAUACAUGCGACCCAUCCUCCUGGCCCCAAGGCAACUCAGCCUGGGUGCUUCACCGCACGAGAGCAUACCCCCUGGGGCUGGCCUUCCGGAUAAACACGACACAACCUAGCGACUCAAUGCAGCUCCGCCUGGGUGCCUCACUGCCCGAGCGCAAACCUGCUGGGGCUGGCCUUGCGGAUAAACGCAACACAACCUACCAACCCAAAGCAACUCAGCCUGGGUGCUUCACUGCACGAGAGCAUACCCCCUGGGGCUGGCCUUGCGGAUAAACGUAACACAAACUACCGGCCCAAGGCAGCUCUGCCUGGGUGCUUCACUGUACGAAAGCAAAACCUGCUGGUGCUGGCCUUGCGGAUAAACGCAACACAACCUACCAACCCAAAGCAACUCAGCCUGGGUGCUUCGCUGCACGAGAGCAUACCCCCUGGGGCUGGCCUUGCGGAUAAACGUAACACAAACUACCAGCCCAAGGCAGCUCUGCCUGGGUGCUUCGCUGUCCGAGAGCAAAACCUGCUUGUGCUGGCCUUGUGGAUAAACGCAACACAAACUACCGGCCCAAGGCAGCUCCGCCUGGGUGCUUCACUGUCCGAGAGCAAAACCUGCUGGUGCUGGCCUUGUGGAUAAACGCGACCCAGUCUACCGGCCUAAAGCAACUCUGCCUCAGUGCUUCACUGCACGAGAGCAUACCCCCUGGGGCUGGCCUUGCGGAUAAACGUAACACAAACUACCGGCCCAAGGCAGCUCCGCCUGGGUGCUUCGCUGUCCGAGAGCAAAACCUUGCUGGUGCUGGCCUUGUGGAUAAACACGACCCAGUCUACCGGCCUAAAGCAACUCUGCCUCAGUGCUUCGCUGCACGAGAGCAUACCCCCUGGGGCUGGCCUUCCAGAUAAACGCGACCCAGUCUACCGGCCUAAGGCAACUCAGCCUGGGUGCUUCGCCACAGGAGAGCAUACCCCCUGGGGCUGGCCUUCCGGAUAAACGCGACCCAGUCUACCGGCCUAAGGCAACUCAGCCUGGGUGCUUCACCACACGAGAGCAUACCCCCUGGGGCUGGCCUUCCCCAGCUACUCUUCCUAUGCUACUGGCCUAAGGCAACCCAGCCCUGGUGCUGGCCUUCCAGCUAAACGCAUCUAAGCCUACCGGCCCAAGGCCACUCAGCCUGGGUGCUUUACCAUGCACCCCCUGGGGCUGGCCUUUUGGAGCAGCACAAAGCAACCCGGGCGCUUCUCUCCCUGAGAGCAUCACCCGGGUAAAGCCUACCAGCCGUGGGCACUCGUUAUUGGGCAGACUUCCUGAGUCUAGUUGCUACCCGAUGAGCGCAAGGCGGUCCGGGCGCUUCGGUGGGCUCCAGCUGGUCACCUGGGAGUAACCCACGGUGGUAAUAAACCACGCUGAGCUAAACCUCAAAGCAAUGACCUCUCUGCCGUGGCGCCGUCCCCUCGUAGCCGGAUCACCCCAUUCCCCAGCAAAACAUGCGUAGUUGCCAACCCUUUGCGGCCGGUUUAGGGACACCCCUUUCCCUCUUACACACACAUGGGUAGGCCUAGUUGCAGCUGGCUGCGCCUGCUUUCAGACAACGCGGGAUAAGGCGCGGAGUCUGUUGAUCACCGCAUCGUCCCCUUCUGGGUGUUUCCGUCGCGUGCCAUUCUUAUCGCCUUCGUCAUAGCCAUUACUUCGUUCUCCUCCGGACCUCCUCCGACUCCGCCGUGCACUUCAUCCCGCUCAGCCAUCUCUUCGCUGUUACUGACGCCCGAUGUGCCAGUAACACUGUGUUCCCUGAUUUCCUUCCUUAUUAAACUGGGUCCAAAUGUAUUGUAUAUUGUUAUUUUUGACGUCCCUAUUCCCCAACAAACGACGUUCUGACUUGCGCUUGGUUGCACAGUUAUCGGGCGAUCUUGUGUUGUCUGAAGUUAGCGCCUUGUUCCCAGCUAAUCUUUGUGGGCUGAACACAACUCAGUUAUCCCCUUUGGUUCCUAUUACUAGCCCUGCCCAUCCAGCCCAACACGGAGAUGGGUGCCGCCACAGCUGAGGUGGAAACCGCCAUGGCUGCCGAAGGCGCCGAAGCAGGGGAACAGGAUGGGCAGCCGGGGGCAAUGCAGCUGCUGCAGCCAGGGAUGGCGCUGGCGUCAGGCAGCGGGCUGCAGCAGGUAAGUGGACAUGUCAGGCUGCAAGCCACGGGUUUGUACAGGUGCCAGGGUGACAGCCGAGCCCCUGAACAGGAGCUGGGUUGCCUGUCGUACACGCACAUAUGUUAGGGUACGGCACAUGGUGCAAGUCAUUUUGCAUGAUGGCCAGCUCACGAAACCAUAUUAUUUUCAUCCAUAUAAUUCAUCCAUAUGCAGUUUCCUAAAAUCUCAGGUCCGGAAAGUGUCCAGGGUUCAUCAAGGACCGAAUUUCUUCAGCAUUCCAAUCUAAGCUUGGAUGAGGAGCAUGCUAUUCGUAUAGCCAAAUAAAAGGAAUUCCUUGCAAAGCUAGGACUUCAAGCCAUUGUUGACAAUAUCCGGUCGCCUCGCUCGCCUAUCAGACGACAGAGUACCCACUCAGCUCCAUUGGAGACUCGCAGAUCCACUAGGCUUACUGUCUUAUCAUCAAAGCUUAGCAAGCAACAAGUGAAGGUAUGUGGUGUCCCAACAGGUGGUUAAAGAUACCUAGGCGGCGGACCCUACUUUAGGGUUCUCAUUUCCUUCCUCUGUGAAAGAUCUCAGUUCAUGUAUAUUUACAAUGUUUAUUGUCAUAUUGGGUUUAACAAUAUUCUCUGAUGCCGACCCAUGCUGCAGGAGCGGCUGUCGUCGAGGACACUGCUGCAGUGGUGGUGAAUCACGAUCCUGAGAUGCAUCUUCAAAUUUUCUCAGACCAACACAAAACUUGGGUGGAGAUGCACAACCUGGAUUUGAAGGCCGACGAGGGCCAGCUCCUUGCAGCCAUCCUCCAGUGGCCUGAGCAGUAUAAACUCUACUGUGGGAGUUAGGGCUCCUUUCAUCACUCCUUUGCAGUAUGUGGAAUUCUGGUGGCGAAUGGCAUGUAUGCCCCAGACGUUAACAACCCCAAGCUGCAGGCUAUCAACCACUUCACUGUGGACAUGAAGUCUGCCCUGCUGUCUGGGGGGCUGAAGCAGUUAACUCAAACGUUUGAGCUUGCACUCCUUCUUGCGGGUCUGAAUGCACUCUGCCAGGGAGACGUGGGAGCACAGGGUCAGCAGGUCCGGAAGCGUGCAAAGUCUGCUGCAAGCAAUGACUGCAGCAAGAGGACAAAGCGUACUGCACAGGAGAUGGCGGGCUUGCUUGAGAAGGAGUUUCACUCGGACAUCAUGUCUGCAUCCAACUUCAAGGACAUCCCGGUAAGGUGUCAUGGUCCAGGAUUCUUGAGUAUUCACAACAUACAUCCAUAGACGGUUUGGCACCACUGGUAAGGCGCGACCAUUGCCCCCGGGAGAUCCCGGGAUCGAUACCCGAUAGGGUUAAAGUCCUUCUGAUGGUGGAAGGCAUUGCCCCCUUGGAUGAUGGACGGUGAUGACCUGGGAUAAAAUUAACCCGCGAGCCGACCAGGAAUGGAGUUGGGUCGCUGUCGACCCGGCAGAUUCCGUUGGAUGCUGGUGGUGGGUGCGGAACCUGAGCGAUCCACUGAGAAGUUGACUAGGGUGACUGGAUGAGGGUGCCCCGAAAUACUGGGGAAGGCAGGGUUUCGCAGGGUAGCUGCCACGGGCGAAGAUACACCCCCCUGUUUCACAUAUCAUAUAUCCUGAUGAAAUAUUUGCAUGGGCUAACCCUAAGACACUCCUGUAAUGUUGUAUGCUUUUAUCAAUCCACAGGAGGUGAAGGUUCGGAUUGCAGAACUUAUUAAUAAAUUUGGCGGAACUGAAGGUGCCACCACCAUGGUAGGCAUUAAGGCCAAGGCAAACACAUGUUGUACAACCGAGGAGGAUGUUGCUGAAGAAUUGAUGAAGUCACUCCGCCACAAAUGGAAGAACCUCCGCAACAUGGCUAAGAAGACACAGAAAGAGAAGGGUGCGUGACUGUGAACUUGCUAGCCUCAUCAUGCUUGUAUAAAUGGAGACAACAUGACAUGUGAUGCUUCCCGCUGCCUGCACCUAGUCAAUCCAUGUGCAAUAGCGCUAGCCAGCACAUGUGUAUGUACACAGGAACCCAAGCUCUAUGUAUAUGUGCAUGCAUGGUAUAUGUCAGUUGCUCCUCAACAUGCCAUCAUCCCUCCUGCUUGCCUACAAUUUGACCUGGGCAUUCAUGUCAUGCAUGACUCUGCAGGUGAUGAGCCAACCCCUGCCCAGCAGGGUGCCCAGGUGCCUAAUCAUAAUAUUCCGGACACGGCUGAAGAUGGCACCGCGGUAGUACAGCAGGACAACGAGGUUCCGAAUGCAGCACAGCAGCAGGGCCCAGGAAAUGCUGCUCCCGCUGACCCCUGCUGCUGGGCCUCCCUUCUGGAUGACAGCCUGGAGGAGAUGGACAAGUACAAGUCGGCAGGCGGCCACAUGUCCUACCUCAACAAGUACAACCUGGCUGACAAGACGAUUGGCUGCUAUCUGGUGGGCGGCUCCAAAGACAAGCCGAGCACACCAUCAGUGCUUGGGGCGGGCUUGGUGCUCAGUGACAUGGCAAGUAUAUAUUAUGGCAGAUUGCUGUACACUCUGUGUUCUAACUUGCAACAUAUAAUUUGGCCAUUUCUGCAACUGAUUACUCAGUUGGAUCCGGUUUUACUAAUCCUUUGGUGGUGCAGGCAUCGGUUUCCAUUGAGGAUACCAUUGAGAUCCUGGUCAUUGGCAAGAUGAAGGGGCUGCACCACCGUGCAAAAUUUACCCUGCCUGAGCCUACCAAGACACUCACCAUCAAGGACUACCCCUUGACCAUGUUUGAUAAAGUAAGGAACGACAGGACAUUAAUUAACCACCAGCAGUUCCUGUAUCCUGACAAGCUUUCAUUACUUCCUAUAUAUGCAGGUAACCUGGCCUGUUCUGGGCAUCCUGGCUAUCGACAAGGACAGACAUGCUGUGCCCUUGUCGCAGUAUGUAGCAGGCCCUCAAUUAUACCGACCAUCCCUCUAGAGGAGCAUCAUGGUUAAUGUUUGACCUAUGUGUCGGGAUGGAGUUGGCAUGCAUGCCUGCUCCUUCUGCACAUGUGUAUACAUGCUACAACAUGUACAUAUCUCGAGCCAUGGUAUUGAAAGGCUGUUGUGUGAUGGGUGUUGUUGCUUGACCCACGAGGAUGGAUGGUUGCCCAUUGCAAAUGGCUGCAAAGCCUUGAAUUUAUGCUGCCGUAAGGCAGCCAGUUUGAUUGGUGUAGUAGACCAUAUGUAACUAUUAAACCCUCUAUGCAUCAUGGGCUUAUGAAAGGCUGUGCUAAGUAGCCACUGUGUACACAUGUGUUCAUAACAUGGUAUGAAUAUCCUUAUGGCUGUUAUGCAUUGUUCAUCAAGUUCCUGUACAUGUAGUACUACUAGUGCUGGUGUGUCGUACAUAUACAUAUAUACAUAGGUCAUGAACUUAGCAGGCAGAAUUGGUAACACAUGUGUGUAUACACUGACGCUUCCGGAGGUUCCAGGAUUGCCACCAGUCAAGGUAAAACGUUUUACCGAUGGUGGAAGGUAAGAGUGCCGCUAUUUGAUGAACAGUAACGGCCUGGGAUAAUGUUGACAUGAGAGCUGACCAGGAAUGGACUCCAGCCGCCAUUAAGUUUGCAGAUGUACAUGUCGUUGGAUGACGGUGGUGGGAGCACUCCCGAGAUGUACCCGAGUGAUUCACUGAGAAGACGGCUAGGGUGACUGCAGUCAUCCAGCUGGAUGAGGGUGCCCUGAAAUACCUGGGUAGACAGAGUUUCACCUGGUAGCGACCACCGGUGUAGAUAUGCCCACCUGUCCCACACAUAAUGUAUAAGGGGUUGUGUUACAAAUGUGGAAACGGUUGAUACCCACAACUGAGAUUUUAUACAUGUCAUUCCAAAUGUAACGAUUGAUUAUAUAUCAUGCUGUUCGUUAAAUGAUGUCAUUCCAUGCUACAUGGCAAUAUAAUUUUCCGAUGACAAUCUGGAUGCACCUAUUUAUUAAAGAAUCAAUAAUUUGGCCUAAGAAUGUAAAAGAACACCCCUAAGAAUGUAAGAGAAUACAGAAGGCUGCUGGCCCGAAAGAAUGCUAAAGAAUGGUAAAAUAGUGGUUUUAUUUCAUAAGAAUGAGACUUAAGAAUGGGUGCCAUACUUAGCAAACCCUAUGGUAAGAAUGGUUAAAACCGGCCAGAGAGCAGCUAAGUAUGCUUUAGGCAAAGAAUCAAUAAGUUGGCCUAAGAAUGUAUAAGAACACCCAAAGAACGAAAAGAAUACAUAAGACUGCUGACCCUAAAGAAUGGUAAAGAAUCGUAGAGAAUGGUAAAGAGUGGUUUUAUUUCUUAAGAAUGAGACUUAAGAAUGGGUGCCAUACUUAGCAAACCUAUGGUAAGAAUGGUAAAACCGGCCAGAGAGCAGCUAAGUAUGCUUUAGAGUAAGAAUCACUAAGUACGUAUAAGAACACCCCAAAGAAUGAAAGAGAAUACAUAAGACUGCUGGGACCUGAAGAAUGCUAAAGAAUUUGAAAGAACGGUUUUAAGAUAAACGGAGGUCAUACGAACGUUCUUAGAACGUUCUUAGAACGAUGUAAGAACGUUCUACUGAUUAUUCGAUUUUAUCAAUUUGGCUGGGCUAAGAACGACUUAAGAACGUUCUUAACCCCCCUCCGCGUUCGUAGGGAACCCCGCAAAACCUUUACGGGGACACUGUCCUUGGCUAAAACGCUGUGGAAAGUGACACUUUGCAUUUUUUUGCCCUGCAAAUCGUUAUUUAUGUUACUUUCGCGUGAACGAUUACACAGGCAUGGCACACUCAGCGAAAGCCAAGCGCCUUGGCUGCCGCGGCCGCCCAUCCCUUCUGCUCCUCUUUC
rnacentral:lncRNA from 1 species